CACCCGAUCCGGGCCCCUCUGGCGUCCUGGCGGAUCGGCCGGCCUGCUCUUCGGACAGGGCCGGGCGAGUUCCGCCACCGCGAUGUCGGAUCAUCUUU
rfam:Roseomonas mucosa strain SAVE376 contig00016, whole genome shotgun sequence.